GACGAACGCUGGCGGCGUGCUUAACACAUGCAAGUCGAGCGGAGCGGCGAACGGGUGAGUAACGCGUGAGUAACUGCCCCCCUCUCUGGGAUAACAGUUGGAAACGGCUGCUAAUACCGGAUAGUGGGGGAUGACUCGCGUCCUAUCAGCUUGUUGGUGGGGUAGUGGCCUACCAAGGCGACGACGGGUAGCCGGCCUGAGAGGGCGACCGGCCACAGAGGGCUGGGAUACCGCCCAAAGUGCUACGGGGGGCAGCAGUGGGGAAUAUGGCACAAUGGGGGAAACCCGGAAGCAGCACCGCCGGGUGGGGGAUGACGGCCUGCGGGGUGUAAACCGCUUUCAGCCAUGACGCGGUAGUGGCAGAAUAAGCACCGGCUAACUUCGUGCCAGCAGCCGCGGUAAUAC
rnacentral:rRNA from 1 species